rnacentral:misc_RNA from 1 species
AGAACAGAGGCAGCAAGGUUUUUUCCGGCGACUGUAAGGAUCAGGCUAAUGUAGAAUAUGGUCAACGAAUCUUUAGGAGAUGAAUGUGAAGAUAUUGCUGUUGAAGCAAUGAAGUUCAUUUUGUUCUUGCCAAGAAGCAAUUUCUGGUUAAAGAUUGAUUAUAAAUUGAUGAAAUCCCUUUCUCUUCAUCAUUUAAAUGCCUGACAUGAGAUUUGUCAUUUUUGUCUCGGCUGGUAGCACCAUAAUUAUCACUCAAUUAUCUUGAACAUCGAGUAUUUUGUUUAAUCUUUUUUUCUUGUUUCUAUUUUCUAUAGCAACAGUUGAAUUAAUAUAUAUGUCCAAUUUUCUAGUAUUGAAACAAAUGUAGUUCCCUUGCCAAUCUGUGCUAUCAAGGUUCAGGUAAAUGUGUUUUGCUCGCAUUGACUUUACAUGUUAUGAUUUUUGAACUCUAAUAAUUUCCUUACAUCAUUUGAAUAUUUUGUCAAAUGCUGAAUAAACUGUUUCAUAUCUGAAUUUUUCUGACGCCUUAAAUCUUUACAAUAUCUCAUUAUAUACUUAAAGUCCUAUAAAAUUUUCAUGAUAUAAUUUAAAGUGAAAUUAAGACCGUUAUGUCAACAAACCGAAUAAUAUUUUAAUUUUAUUUUAUAAGAGUUUAAAUAUAUUAUAGGAUGUUUAAAAGAGUAGCGGGGUGUCUUAAAAAUUUAAGGUGUGAUAAAG